GACGAACGCUGGCGGCGUGCUUAACACAUGCAAGUCGAAUGAUGAACCCGGAGCUUGCUCCGGUGGAUUAGUGGCGAACGGGUGAGUAACACGUGAGUAACCUGCCCUUGACUCUGGGAUAACUGCGGGAAACUGUAGCUAAUACCGGAUACGACCCUCGGCGGCAUCGCCAGGGGGUGGAAAGAAUUUCGGUCAAGGAUGGACUCGCGGCCUAUCAGCUAGUUGGUGAGGUAACGGCUCACCGAGGCGACGACGGGUAGCCGGCCUGAGAGGGUGACCGGCCACACUGGGACUGAGACACGGCCCAGACUCCUACGGGAGGCAGCAGUGGGGAAUAUUGCACAAUGGGCGCAAGCCUGAUGCAGCAACGCCGCGUGAGGGAUGACGGCCUUCGGGUUGUAAACCUCUUUUAGCAGGGAAGAAGCGAAAGUGACGGUACCUGCAGAAAAAGCACCGGCUAACUACGUGCCAGCCGCCGCCGUAA
rnacentral:rRNA from 1 species